rnacentral:lncRNA from 1 species
AUGAAGGGGUCCAGGAUGCGGACGGGUCGGUGUACGCCCUGGAGGACGGCAGGAGGGGCGGAGAGCACCCGGACGCACAGGCGACCAUGGCCGGCUUCGGACAGGAUUUCUACGACGAGCAGGGAGUAUUCUCUGAGAGUUUUUGGCCGCAGAGCGAGCCGCCCCAGGCCAUGCCGUUCAACCCCAGAGGACGCGUCAACAAGCCCCUGACUCCGCCCCCAACCUCCCAAUCCAUGAACAACCCGCUCCUAUUCCAGUACCCAGUGAGCCAAUCGCAGCCCGCGCCGUACUUCGUAGGUGGACCGAUGCAGGGGAUGGACGGCAUGG